rnacentral:rRNA from 1 species
GCGCUAGAUGUAGGGACCUUUCCACGGUUUGUGUGUCCGUAGCUAACGCAUUAAGCUCCCCGCGUGGGGAGUACGGCCGCAAGGCUAAAACUCAAAGGAAUUGACGGGGGCCCGCACAAGCGGCGGAGCAUGCGGAUUAAUUCGAUGCAACGCGAAGAACCUUUCCAAGGCUUGACAUACACCGGAAACGGCCAGAGAUGGUUGCCCCCUUGUGGUCGGUGUCCAGGUGGUGCAUGGUUGUCGUCAGCUCGUGUCGUGACAUGUUGGGUUAAGUCCCGCAACGAGCGCAACCCUCGUUAUAUCUUGCCAGCGCGUUAUGGCGGGGACUCAUAGGAGACUGCCGGGGUCAACUCGGAGGAAGGUGGGGAUGACGUCAAAUCAUCAUGCCCCUUAUGUCUUGGGCUUCACGCAUGAUUCAAUGGCCGGUACAAAGGGCUGCGAUACCGUAAGGUGGAGCGAAUCCCAAAAAUCCGGUCUCAGUUCGGAUUGAGGUUUGCAACUCGGCCUCAUGAAGUCGGAGUCGUUAGUAAUCGCAGAUCA